UACGGGGGGGGCAAGCGUUGUUCGGAAUCACUGGGCGUAAAGCGCACGUAGGCGGCUUUCUAAGUCAGGGGUGAAAUCCUGGAGCUCAACUCCAGAACUGCCUUUGAUACUGGAGAGCUUGAGUCCGGAAGAGGUGAGUGGAACUCCGAGUGUAGAGGUGAAAUUCGUAGAUAUUCGGAAGAACACCAGUGGCGAAGGCGGCUCACUGGACUGGUAUUGACGCUGAGGUGCGAAAGCGUGGGGAGCAAACAGG
rnacentral:rRNA from 1 species